rnacentral:rRNA from 1 species
UACGUAGGGUGCAAGCGUUGUCCGGAAUCAUUGGGCGUAAAGAGCGUGUAGGCGGCCCGGUAAGUCCGCUGUGAAAGUCCAGGGCUCAACCCUGGGAUGCCGGUGGAUACUGUCGGGCUCGAGUCCGGAAGAGGAGAGUGGAAUUCCUGGUGUAGCGGUGAAAUGCGCAGAUAUCAGGAAGAACACCCGUGGCGAAAGCGGCUCUCUGGAACGGUACUGACGCUGAGACGCGAAAGCGUGGGGAGCGAACAGG